CUUCCUGGAGGCCACCUGUCAGCACAUCUGGAGCUCAUGUUGCUGCUGCUUCCAACACGGCACCAUUUCCAUCCCCGCUCUGACUUCAAAGACCCAUCAAGGUUGAUGAGCCAAAAACCAUCUCCGGGAAUGAAGGACUUUUUCUCCCAGCUAUCAAAUGUGCUGCCAGUAGACACCCCUCAGCUAUCAGCCCUCUUUGAGGAUAGUUUUGGUUCAAGACAGACGUCUCCCCAAAGAGUUCAAUAGAAAAGAUGGACUUCUCAACCAAUGAAGCUAAAAAAACUGAAUAUUCGUAUGCAAAAGAAGGAGUUUGGAUUCUGACCUAGCACCAUAUAUAAAAAUUAACUCAAAAUAGAUCAAAGACCUAAAUGUAAGAGCUGACAAUGGGGGAUCCCUGGGUGGCUUAGCGGUUUAGUGCCU